rnacentral:rRNA from 1 species
UACGUAGGGUGCAGGCGUUAAUCGGAAUUACUGGGCGUAAAGCGUGCGCAGGCGGUUUGUUAAGACAGGUGUGAAAUCCCCGAGCUCAACUUGGGAAUUGCGCUUGUAACUGGCAAGCUAGAGUGUGGCAGAGGGGGGUGGAAUUCCACGUGUAGCAGUGAAAUGCGUAGAUAUGUGGAGGAACACCGAUGGCGAAGGCAGCCCCCUGGGUUAACACUGACGCUCAUGCACGAAAGCGUGGGGAGCAAACAGGAUUAGAUACCCUGGUAGUCCACGCCCUAAACUAUGUCAACUAGUUGUCGGGGAAGAAAUUCCUUGGUAACGAAGCUAACGCGUGAAGUUGACCGCCUGGGGAGUACGGCCGCAAGGUUA